GGUUGCGAUCAUACCAGCACUAAUGCACCGGAUCCCAUCAGAACUUCGCAGUUAAGCGUGCUUGGGCGAUAGUAGUACUAGGAUGGGUGACCCCCUGGGAAGUCCUCGUGUUGCAACCC
rnacentral:rRNA from 1 species